GCUGGCAUAGCUCACAUUGGGAGAGCAACUGUCUUGUAAACAGUAGGUUGUCUGUUCGAUUCAGACUGUCAGCUCCA
rnacentral:tRNA from 1 species